GAUGAACGCUGGCGGCGUGCCUAAUACAUGCAAGUCGAGCGAACGGACGAGAAGCUUGCUUCUCUGAUGUUAGCGGCGGACGGGUGAGUAACACGUGGAUAACCUACCUAUAAGACUGGGAAAACUUCGGGAAACCGUAGCUAAUACCGGAGAAUAUUUUGAACCGCAUGGUUCAAAAGUGAAAGACGGUCUUGCUGUCACUUAUAGAUGGAUCCGCGCUGCAUUAGCUAGUUGGUAAGGUAACGGCUUACCAAGGCAACGAUGCAUAGCCGACCUGAGAGGGUGAUCGGCCACACUGGAACUGAGACACGGUCCAGACUCCUACGGGAGGCAGCAGUAGGGAAUCUUCCGCAAUGGGCGAAAGCCUGACGGAGCAACGCCGCGUGAGUGAUGAAGGUCUUCGGAUCGUAAAACUCUGUUAUUAGGGAAGAACAUAUGUGUAAGUAACUGUGCACAUCUUGACGGUACCUAAUCAGAAAGCCACGGCUAACUACGUG
rnacentral:rRNA from 1 species